UCUAAAUCGCUGCGGGCGCAGCGAAGGCGCGUGCGCGGCACGCGACGCGACGUUUCGGCGUCCGUCGCUGUCGCGCCGGUGCGAGGCGAUGGCGGCGACGGUCGGCGUCCGGCUUCACGGUCGGCGUUCGUACCGUUCGGCCGCUCGCAGCCUCGAGACGAUCUUGUAUCGCAUUCAAGUCGUACUCGUAGCCGCCGUGUCGGGACCCGAAAGGCGGUGAACUAUACCCGGCGAGGGUGAAGUUAGGGGAAACCCUGAUGCAGGCCCGUCGCGUUUCUAACGUGCAAAUUGAUCGUCUGAGCCGGGUAUAGGGGCGAAAGACCAAUCGAACCGUCUAGUAGCUGGUUCCUUUCGAAGUUUCCCUCAGGAUAGCUGAAACGAGAUUCACGAUUAGAAGUGAAUUAGUCGCGUGAGGUAAAGCGAAUGAUUAGAGGCAUUGGGGCUGAAACGGUCUUAACCUAUUCUCAAACUUUCAAUAUGCGCUGUCGGGCGGCUUGCAAUACUGAAGCCGUCAGCGGAUAGAGCGUUUCUAGUGGGCCAGUCCUGGUAAGCAGGACCGGCGAUGUGGGAUGAACCAAAUGCACAAGUUAGAGUGCCAAAAAGUAUGUUAAUCAGAAACCACAAAAGGCGUUAGUAACUAAAGACAGCAGGACGGUGGACAUGGAAGUAGUAA
rnacentral:rRNA from 1 species